UACAGAGGGUGCAAGCGUUGUUCGGAAUUAUUGGGCGUAAAGCGCGUGUAGGCGGCUUUGCAAGUCGGGUGUGAAAGCCCUCAGCUCAACUGAGGAAGUGCGCCCGAAACUGCAGAGCUUGAGUGCCGGAGAGGGUGGCGGAAUUCCCCAAGUAGAGGUGAAAUUCGUAGAUAUGGGGAGGAACACCGGUGGCGAAGGCGGCAUCCUGGACCAAUUCUGACGCUGAUGAGCGAAAGCCAGGGGAGCAAACGGG
rnacentral:rRNA from 1 species